GAUGAACGCUGGCGGCAGGCCUAACACAUGCAAGUCGAGGGAUAAGCCCUUCGGGGUGAAAACCGGCGCACGGGUGCGUAACGCGUAUGCAACCUACCUUUCACAGGGGUAUAGCCCGAAGAAAUUUGGAUUAAUACCCCAUAAUAUUGUUGGAUGGCAUCAUCUGAUAAUUAAAGUUACGAUGGUGAAAGAUGGGCUGCGUCCUAUUAGCUAGUUGGAGUGGUAACGGCACCCCAAGGCUACGAUAGGUAGGGGUCCUGAGAGGGAGAUCCCCCACACUGGUACUGAGACAGGGACCAGACUCCUACGGGAGGCAGCAGUGAGGAAUAUUGGUCAAUGGUCGAAAGACUGAACCAGCCAUGCCGCGUGCAGGACAGACGGCCCUAGAGGUUGUAAACUGCUUUUAUAUGGGAAGAAUAAGGAGUACGAGUACUUUGA
rnacentral:rRNA from 1 species